rnacentral:lncRNA from 1 species
AUAUUCAUGCUUAAACACAAUGCACGCUAUAUUGUCCUUUCGUCGCUCAUAAGAAUCAUAAGUUGAAAAGUAUUUGGCAGUUUCACAAGAUCGUUUAGUGAGUUCCUAAACCGUAGAACUAAGACAAAAUGUCACUUAGCUACCCUGGAAAUUCCAAUCUAGUGAGUCCAGCCACAACAAAAGCCCGACAAGUGCUCAGCCAGCACAGGCAGAAAAAUAGUACGAUGUAUAUUUGUAUAUAUAGAUAUUCAUUCAUACACUUAAAUCCCGUUCUAUUAAUGAUUAUUUCAUCUCCCUUCCAAUUCAACACAGCAACAUUUCCGUAUCUUCCCAUAAAAUAUCUAAUGUCCCUUCAUCAUCAGUUACCCUCCAGCAUCAUACAAUUUCCAAUGUCUCUUGAUGAUGAUGAUG